AUACUCUGGUUUCUCUUCAGAUCGUAUGGAUCUUUUGCCUUUUACUAAAGAUUUCUGUGAAGAGGAAUAUUUAUGAGUUUCUACCCAGAUCAGUUCAUUUUUUUUGUAUGAUACCUGGCUUC
rnacentral:snRNA from 1 species